UGUGUGUGUGUGUGUGUGUGUGUGUGUGUGUGUGUGUGUGUGUGUGUGUAUGUGUCCUGGGGCUUGGACUCAGGGCCUGAGCACUGUCCCUGGCUUCUUUUUGCUCAAGGCUAGCACUCUGCCACUUGAGCCACAG